GUUCAUGGCAGUGCUCUGAGCUACACCAACAGAUUCUUGCAAUGAAUCAGAUCAGUGAGCAAUGCAGGAGUAGGCAUAUUCUUGCUUUGGUUAUUUAGUACUGAGGGAGUUCAAGAAGGUCAACAUGAAGAUAAACAGCCUGCUAGGAACACAGGAACAUAUCACAUGGCUUCAUCUAUGAAGGUGCACAUUUAAGAACAACACCAGCCUGAAGCAUUCUUCAGAACUGCCUAUUUCUAAAACAGCCAAUAUAUCUAUCUUGAAUUAAUUGCCUUGCAGUGAGCAAACUUACUCUGACAGAGAUUAGAAGAUUAGCAGCCUUUACAACAAAAAGCAGUAGGAGCAGUGGAAUUGCUGGAUCACAGCCUGAGCCAAUGCUUGAACACCAAGUGAGAAGGCGUGGUUAACCCAAGGAGCUCAGGUGCUAACUGAGUGACCGGAAGGGACUGAGCCUGGAUCCACUCCUCUUCACCCUCAUUUGAGGGUUAGCAGCUGAGGGAGUAGCAUUUUUCUGGGUAGGGACUGCGCUUCUCUUGAACUGUCACUGGCUGUUGGAAGGGGUGAGAUAAUGUUCCUUCUUAAUUACCUGUUAUUGCUCCAUAGUGCCUGUAUCCCAUGCAAAGGCACUGUAAUCAACUUCUUUUGCCAUGCAAUAGGAUUUGUAGGAAGUACUAGAGCCAUAUUAAACAAUACGUACUACA